CGUAGGAGUGACGUACUCAAUUGUAGCUCUUCGCCGCCUGAUGGUUUUUCAAAUCUGCUGUUGAUAAAGUUGGCCGUAUGCCAGCGCGGAUAUAGGUUGUCGGUUGUUUUUCAGCUAAUUCAAUGAUUCAACCAAAGCUUUGCAGAGAGAGAAGACGGCCUUCUCUGGGAUUGUUAGGCCUAAUUGGAGCAUUUACGGGAAGAGAUCCUGCCUCGCUUCGAAGGUUAGCGAAAACUUCCGUAAUGUGGUCCCGGCUGGAGGUCAAAGCCAUGACUUCAGUGGAUAUACAAGACAACUGCAACUGCAACAUAAACUGCUGACUCAUGGAUGAAAUUCCUGUGCAGAAAACUUCCACAACAAACAAGCGUGAAGAUGGACGCGAAAUCAAUUUGCCUCGAAUAGAACAAAUAAAGGUUGAGAAAUCUUGUAGAAGCAGUUGUGGAACAAAUCGAAAUGAGUCGAGAAAAGGCUGAAUGGAUAAGACUGACAGCCACUGGAGAAAAGGAACUCCUGGAAUGUCAUUCGGAAAACAGUGAAUUAUUUCUUGUGGAUAUAACUGGGUUUCAAGAAAGUAAAGUUUAUGAAUAUAAGAAAUUAAUAGUGACUUUUAAUUUGAAAAUACAAAUUUUGAGGGUUCAAGUCAAACUGCUUCUAGAUUCAAAGUAUCCACUGAUACCUGUAACAUAGGGAAACUGCAGUGGCAAAUCACCAUUGCAAGGAAAUUAGAAAUUAUUGCAUGUUGUGAUGAAAUUAUUUGCUACCAUAAUUUGUAUGAUUAAUCUGGAUUUUCCCUUGCCUCAGUAAGGUCCCUCACAGUAAUUGCAGUUUCACGGUGAUUUAAAACCCAAAGUAACUUGAACGUAACUGUUUUAGGAAAAUAUAUGAAAAUUAUGUGAUUUGUUAUUCUAAAUACUGUUAUUUUUUUUAUAAAAAGUUUAUCAAUAUUCAAAAUAGUGUAACUGUAGUAUAAUGAAAAACUUUUAAGGGCAGAUUCAAUAUUGAAAGCCUGUCAAUAUUCAAAAUAGUGUAGCUGUAGUAUAAUGAAAAACUUUUAAGGGCAGAUUCAAUAUUGAAAGCCUGUCAAUAUUCAAAAUAGUGUAACUUUGUAGUAUAGUGAAGCUUGUGGGUAUGAAGAUUAUUUUAUAAUGUCAGGUGUGUCAAGUCAUAUAAACUGGCUCUUUAUGGUCAACAGAUUUCAAAGGUACUCUUAAUUAAAUUACUUUCCAGGUAAAGCAUGGACAAGCGACCUUUAACAAACUGGUGAUUGCUGCCAGAGAGAGAGAGAGAGAGAGAGAGAAAACUUUUCCCUACAGGAGUUCAAAUGGAUCUGGGAGGCAGAUAGUAAGAAAUAAACACGAGAUAGUGUAUGGAUAGGUCAAGGCUAAGGAUUUCCAGUGUAAUAAGGCCAGGACAUAAUACGGCCAUUGGUGCUCAGAGCCGAGGACUUUAAAGUGUUCCCGAAAAUGGUGGGAUCUUACAGGAAAAUUUAACUAGAAAAAAAAAAAAAUCCAGGCACUGCAUCGCUUGGUCACUAAAACUUUCCGGAGACGAGUUUAUUAGUGCGCUCAGUUUCGUAGAUGAGAGGUAAGGGCAGUGUGAGAUCGCAACGCCUCUCAUCUGAAGAUGGGGCUUUUCGGCUUCUAGGAAGUGCAUAAUCAACGCCUCGGAUCUGAAGGAGGGCGUCUACAUAAGCGAGUUUCAUACAAUCGCGUCAUGUAGUUUUUAAUUCAGUAGAAAUGUUAUAUCAAGAAGGCAGUCUCCAGUGCUGGAUGGAGUCCUGAUGGAAGUCGACUGUAACUGAUGGAACUAAUAUUGUGGUUCAUCCAUUAGAAUGCUGACGUAGAGAAAUAAUUCUGGAGAGAACCUUCUUGGAACAUUACACCCUCUUUGGAGUAAACUAUUUGGAGAACAGUUUUUUUAUACACUCCGGAGAAGAGGAUUCACACACUUUUGGACACGUUAGCUAAGCUUCAACCUUUUUUUUAUACGCAGGUUACAGAGUCAAAAAUAAUAAACUAGAGCAAGUU